GGAGGAUUAGCUCAGCUGGGAGAGCGCUUGCCUUACAAGCAAGGGGUCGGCGGUUCGAUCCCGUCAUCCUCCA
rnacentral:tRNA from 3 species